rnacentral:rRNA from 1 species
GACGAACGCUGGCGGCGUGCUUAACACAUGCAAGUCGAACGGAAAGGCCCUGCUUUUGUGGGGUGCUCGAGUGGCGAACGGGUGAGUAACACGUGAGUAACCUGCCCUUGACUUUGGGAUAACUUCAGGAAACUGGGGCUAAUACCGGAUAGGAGCUCCUGCUGCAUGGUGGGGGUUGGAAAGUUUCGGCGGUUGGGGAUGGACUCGCGGCUUAUCAGCUUGUUGGUGGGGUAGUGGCUUACCAAGGCUUUGACGGGUAGCCGGCCUGAGAGGGUGACCGGCCACAUUGGGACUGAGAUACGGCCCAGACUCCUACGGGAGGCAGCAGUGGGGAAUAUUGCACAAUGGGCGGAAGCCUGAUGCAGCAACGCCGCGUGCGGGGUGACGGCCUUCGGGUUGUAAACCGCUUUCGCCUGUGGCGAAGCGUGAGUGACGGUAAUGGGUAAAGAAGCACCGGCUAACUACGUG